GAUGAACGCUGGCGGCGUGCCUAAUACAUGCAAGUCGAGCGAACAGACGAGGAGCUUGCUCCUCUGACGUUAGCGGCGGACGGGUGAGUAACACGUGGAUAACCUACCUAUAAGACUGGGAUAACUUCGGGAAACCGGAUCUAAUACCGGAUAAUAUAUUGAACCGCAUGGUUCAAUAGUGAAAUACGGUUUUGCUGUCACUUAUAGCUGGAUCCGCGCCGCAUUAGCUAGUUGGUAAGGUAACGGCUUACCAAGGCAACGAUGCGUAGCCGACUUGACAGGGUGAUCGGCGACACUGGAACUGAGACACGGUCAAGACUCCUAAGGGAGGCCGCAGAAGGGAAUCUGCCGCAAUGGGCGAAAGCCUGACGGAGCAACGCCGAGUGAGUGAUGAAGGUCUUCGGAUCGUAAAACUCUGUUAUUAGGGAAGAACAAAUGUGUAAGUAACUAUGCACGUCUUGACGGUAACUAAUCAGAAAGCCACGGCUAACUACGUG
rnacentral:rRNA from 1 species